UUGGAGGGCAAGUCUGGUGCCAGCAGCCGCGGUAAUUCCAGCUCCAAUAGCGUAUAUUAAAGUUGUUGCAGUUAAAAGCUCGUAGUUGAAUUUCGGGAUCAAUAUGCUGGUCGUGCCUUUGGUACGUACUGGUAUUAUUGGUUUCUCCUUUCUGAUGAAUCACGAUGUCAUUAAUUUGGUGUCAUGGGGAAUCAGGACUGUUACUUUGAAAAAUUAGAGUGUUUAAAGCAGGCUUACGCUUGAAUACAUUAGCAUGGAAUAAUGAAAUAGGACGUGUAAUUCUAUUUUGUUGGUUUCUAGGAUUGACGUAAUGAUUGAUAGGGAUAGUUGGGGGCAUUAGUAUUCAAUUGUCAGAGGUGAAAUUCUUGGAUUUAUUGAAGACUAACUACUGCGAAAGCAUUUGCCAAGGAUGUUUUCAUUAAUCAAGAACGAAAGUUAGGGGAUCGAAGACGAUCAGAUACCGUCGUAGUCUUAACCGUAAACUAUGCCGACUAGGGAUCGGAUGAUGUUAAUUAUGACUCA
rnacentral:rRNA from 1 species